AAAAUAUGAGAGUUUGAUCCUGGCUCAGGAUGAACGCUGGCGGCGUGCCUAAUACAUGCAAGUCGAGCGAACUCUGGUAAAUGAAUGAAGGUGCUUGCACCUGAGUGAUUUUACAUUUGAGUGAGCGGCGGAUGGGUGAGUAACACGUGGGUAACCUGCCCUAAAGUGGGGGAUAACAUCUGGAAACAGGUGCUAAUACCGCAUAACAACAAUUUUCACAUGAUUAUUGUUUGAAAGA
rnacentral:rRNA from 1 species